rnacentral:lncRNA from 1 species
AUGGAAACAGGAACGGAAACUGUUCAGGAAAUUGAGAUUUCCAUAAAGGGUCUCAGCAAGGAGGAAAUCUACAGACGUAUAAAACGUAAAUUCAUGAAAAUAUUGGAAGGAAAUUUGGAAUGUUAUCAAAAACAACUUGGCAAAGUUGAAGUUGAAAAUUUUCGUUUGAAGGAGGAACUCAAAGCUCUCCAACAAAAAUAUGAAGAGGACGUGAAAAGCUCUAAAGCUGUUCCAUAUUUAAAAAGAAAACGACAAGAACUCGUUUUGAAGAAGAUACAGUUGGAAGAGGAACUUGAUACCUUCAAUGCAAUACAUGCUGAGACAAUCCAAAAAACACGAGAGUCCCAUCAAAAGGAAAUAGAGGAAUUGAAUAAAAAACAUCAAAACAAAGUGCAAACAUUAAAAACAAAGUUAGAAAAAGAGAAAGAACAGGCCGUGACUAAUAUAACAAAUGAAUAUGAAGACAAGAUAGGGAAACUUGAGAAACAGUUGUCCAAAGAAAUCAGGGAAUUGAAAAAAGAAAAUCAACUCCUGGGAAAAAAAGUAGCAAAGUUGACGGCUUCUUGCAGUGAAAAAGAUUCCAAAACUGUUGAUUUGGAGAAUAAAAUCAAGGCGAACUGGGAUCAUUUCAAAGAAGUUCUGGAGCGCCACAAGAUGAAAUCAAUGAUUGAAGUUCGGGAUUUACAACGUUCAGAAGCAUUCUUGAAACAAAAGUUGGAGAAUCGCAAUAGUGAUUUAAAGUAUAUGCUGGUUCAGGUCCUCAAAAAUGAAAUUUCUGAAUUGAAAAACCAAAUAGAGGAGAAGGAGAGAACAAUUGAAAAACUGCGUGACGACAAGAUUCAGAUUCAGGCUGACAGUGAUGCUAAGGAUGGACAAAACGAAAUUUUAAAAUUAAAGGUUUCUAGUUUGGAAAAAGAAAUUGCUGAAGCAAAGCAGAAAAACAUAGACGAUGCAAAAAAACUCGAAGAAAGAUUGGAAAUGGCAUCAAACCUGGAAACCAAAAUUGAGGAGCUUACAAAUGAAAAAGCUCAACUCAAUGAAAAUAUAAAAAUUUGGAGAUCAAUGAAGGUGGAGUGGGAUCUCAAAUAUAAGGACUUGAAAGGUUUGCACGAGUCUUGCUUGGGUGACCUAAAGUCAUGUACUAAAUUUCCAAUCAAUCAUAAACGAUUUGCAUAUAGAUUCAAAUAA